GACGAACGCUGGCGGCGUGCCUAAUACAUGCAAGUUGAGCGCUGAAGGUUGGUACUUGUACCAACUGGAUGAGCAGCGAACGGGUGAGUAACGCGUGGGGAAUCUGCCUUUGAGCGGGGGACAACAUUUGGAAACGAAUGCUAAUACCGCAUAAAAACUUUAAACACAAGUUUUAAGUUUGAAAGAUGCAAUUGCAUCACUCAAAGAUGAUCCCGCGUUGUAUUAGCUAGUUGGUGAGGUAAAGGCUCACCAAGGCGAUGGUACAUAGCCGACCUGAGAGGGUGAUCGGCCACAUUGGGACUGAGACACGGCCCAAACUCCUACGGGAGGCAGCAGUAGGGAAUCUUCGGCAAUGGACGAAAGUCUGACCGAGCAACGCCGCGUGAGUGAAGAAGGUUUUCGGAUCGUAAAACUCUGUUGGUAGAGAAGAACGUUGGUGAGAGUGGAAAGCUCAUCAAGUGACGGUAACUACCCAGAAAGGGACGGCUAACUACGUG
rnacentral:rRNA from 1 species